CAGGGCAAAGCCAAGAAGUGUUUUUUCCCCCCUCCCUGCCACAGGAACUGUGACCUAAUUCUCAUUCCUAAUCACAGAAUCAAAGGAGAAAUUUAUUUCAAUGAGCCAAUCUGAAAGAGCUACUUGCCAAAUGGCUUUCUUUCCAAUACUUAAUGAAAAGAUGCAUUUUGUACUACUUUCAAAAAGUGAUAUGGACAGGAGACGGAAAUACUGGGUAGAAGAGGGCAGUUCCCUGGCAAAGCCUCACCCUCAAGCCUGGAUACCUGCUGUCUUAAAUGAAAACAGGCAUUUCUGUGUUCAUGCUCCAAAAGUUGUCUUUUGGCCCACCACACCCCCUAUCCUGCACCCAUAUGAAUCCCGAACCCCAGACUCCAGAAGCAGACCAGCAAGCCCGCAGACCAGCAGAAGGACGGCAGAAUGAUGUGGCAGAGAAAGGGAGAAGAGGAGGAACAUCUGAAUGCCAAAAGGAGUUCAGUUGGGGGCAGUCAGAGAGGAGUCCAGCCACUGGGCAGCCAGAAUCCAGGGGAGGAUCACCCUACCACUUCAUCCCCUUCCUCCACCUCCCCAUCCAUCCUGCUGAAAGCCACCUCCACCACUCAAUAAAAC
rnacentral:lncRNA from 1 species